CACGGGGGGAGCAAGCGUUGUUCGGAAUUACUGGGCGUAAAGGGCGCGUAGGCGGCCUUCUAAGUCUUGUGUGAAAUCCCUCGGCUCAACUGAGGAACUGCACGGGAUACUGGAUGGCUUGAGUUCGGGAGAGGGAAGCGGAAUUCCGGGUGUAGCGGUGAAAUGCGUAGAUAUCCGGAGGAACACCGGUGGUGAAGGCGGCUUCCUGGACCGAUUACUGACGCUGAGGCGCGAAAGCUAGGGGAGCAAACGGG
rnacentral:rRNA from 1 species